AUGGUCGGCAUGGUGACAGGUUAGUGAUUAUUACCGAUGGUCGGCAUGGUAACAGGUUAGUAUUGAUUAUUACCGAUGGUUGGCAUGGUAACAGGUUAGCAUUGAUUAUUACCGAUGGUUGGCAUGGUGACAGAUUAGUGAUUAUUACCGAUGGUUGGCAUGGUAACAGGUUAGUGAUUAUUACCGAUGGUCGGCAUGGUAACAGGUUAGUGAUUAUUACCGAUGGUUGGCAUGGUAACAGGUUAGUGAUUAUUACCGAUGGUUGGCAUGGUAACAGGUUAGUAGUGAUUAUUACCGAUGGUUGGCAUGGUAACAGGUUAGUGAUUAUUACCGAUGGUUGGCAUGGUAACAGGUUAGUAGUGAUUAUUACCGAUGGUUGGCAUGGUGACAGGUUAGUGAUUAUUACCGAUGGUUGGCAUGGUAACAGGUUAGUGAUUAUUGAUUACCGAUGGUUGGCAUGGUGAUAGGUUAGU